GAUGAACGCUGGCGGCGUGCUUAAUACAUGCAAGUCGAACGGAAAGGCCCUGCUUUUGUGUGGUGCUCGAGUGGCGAACGGGUGAGUAACACGUGAGUAACCUGUCCUUGACUUUGGGAUAACUUCAGGAAACUGGGGCUAAUAUCGGAUAGAAGCUCCUGCUGCAUGGGGGGGGUUGGAAAGUUUCGGCGGUUGGGGCUGGAAUCGCGGCUUAUCAGCUUGUUGGUGGGGUAGUGGCUUACCAAGGCUUUGACGGGUAGCCGGCCUGAGAGGGUGACCGGCCACAUUGGGACUGAGAUACGGCCCAGACUCCUACGGGAGGCAGCAGUGAGGAAUAUUGCACAAUGGGCGGAAGCCUGAUGCAGCAACGCCGCGUGCGGGAUGACGGCCUUCGGGUUGUAAACCGCUUUCGCCUGUGACGAAGCGUGAGUGACGGUAAUGGGUAAAGAAGCACCGGCUAACUACGUG
rnacentral:rRNA from 1 species